UACAGAGGGUGCAAGCGUUGUUCGGAAUUAUUGGGCGUAAAGCGCGUGUAGGCGGCUUUGCAAGUCGGGUGUGAAAGCCCUCAGCUUAACUGAGGAAGUGCGCCCGAAACUGCAUUGCUUGAGUACCGGAGAGGAUGGCGGAAUUCCCCAAGUGGAGGUGAAAUUCGUAGAUAUGGGGAGGAACACCGGUGGCGAAGGCGGCCAUCUGGACGGAUACUGACGCUGAGACGCGAAAGCGUGGGUAGCAAACAGG
rnacentral:rRNA from 1 species